rnacentral:snRNA from 1 species
GCCUGCCCACCCUGGAAACGGCU